rnacentral:rRNA from 1 species
GACAACCAGGAGGUUGGCUUAGAAGCAGCCAUCCUUUAAAGAAAGCGUAAUAGCUCACUGGUCUAGUUAAGCCGGCCUGCGCCGAAAAUGUAUCGGGGCUCAAGCCGUGUACCGAAGCUGCGGAUGUGAUCUCUGAUCACGUGGUAGCGGAGCGUUCCGUAAGCCUGCGAAGGGUGUCCGUGAGGCCGCCUGGAGGUAUCGGAAGUGAGAAUGCUGACAUGAGUAGCGACAAACAGUGUGAGAAACACUGUCGCCGAAAGUCCAAGGGUUCCUGCGCAAGGUUAAUCCACGCAGGGUGAGCCGGCCCCUAAGGCGAGGCCGAAAGGCGUAGUCGAUGGGAACCACGUUAAUAUUCGUGGGCCUGGCGGAGGUGACGGAUUGGAAAGCGUGUACGAUCUUAUCGGAUUGAUCGUGCUGUGGACCGGUUCCAGGAAAUAGCCCCGCCAUACAGACCGUACCCCAAACCGACACAGGUGGACUGGUAGAGUAUACCCAGGCGCUUGAGAGAAUGGUGUUGAAGGAACUCGGCAAAUUGCCCUCGUAACUUCGGAAGAAGAGGGCCCCGUUGUGGCGCAAGCCAUGGCGGGGGGCACAGACCAGGGGGUAGCGACUGUUUACUAAAAACACAGGGCUCUGCGAAGCCACACAAGGCGACGUAUAGGGUCUGACGCCUGCCCGGUGCCGGAAGGUUAAGAGGAGGAGUGCAAGCUCUGAAUUGAAGCCCCGGUAAACGGCGGCCGUAACUAUAACGGUCCUAAGGUAGCGAAAUUCCUUGUCGGGUAAGUUCCGACCUGCACGAAUGGCGUAACGACUUCCCCGCUGUCUCCAACACCAACUCAGCGAAAUUGAACUCUCCGUGAAGAUGCGGAGUUCCCGCGGUCAGACGGAAAGACCCCGUGCACCUUUACUACAGCUUUGCAGUGGUGCUAGGGACUUCAUGUGUAGGAUAGGUGGGAGGCUUGGAAGCCUGGGCGCCAGCCCGGGUGGAGCCAACCUUGAAAUACCACCCUUGAAGUCUCUGGCAUCUAACCGUGGCCCGU